rnacentral:lncRNA from 1 species
AUUGCCACAGCAACAACUCUUGAAGAGGCAAGAGAGGCAGUCAGUGACGCAUCAGAGGAACUGUCCCUGAUGGGUUCUCUGCGCUUCCUCAAAACUCUAGAGGAGAGGGAUGAACUGGUGACCGCUGUCCUGGGGUUCUACACUGAGGGUCGAGUCCAUGCUCCCCUUCAGCAGUUCAGAGAGGGCCUCAGCGUCUUCGGUGCUCUGGCUGCAAUGGAGGAGCACUGUGAUGUCCUGGCACCAGUCUUCCUGGCAGACCAGAAAGCGCUGUGUGCCUCAGAUCUGGUUACACUGUUUGUAACACGCAGCUUCUCACUGGCUGGAUCCAACAGGAAAAGAGCGGAGCUAAAAACCAUCGCCUAUUGGAGAGACUGGCUCCUGCAGGUGGAGGGUAAGAAAGUGCCUAAUGAAAAAUGAUUUAUACUUGUAUAGAGGUUAAGCUUUACUGUUUACUGAAAGAAAAGUGUAUUAGCUAACAUCAACAUCUUACAUUAACUUGUAACAUUCUCUUGUGUGACACACAACAUCAUGAGUGACGGGCAGAGGAAACAUCAAAGUUAAGAAAUGGUAUGGUCCACAUUAGGGAUUUAAUGAAGCCAUUUUACAAGAUUCUUCCAGGCUAUAUUUAAAUGUUUUGACACCCCUUGCCCUGUAUUUUUAACCUUUUUGGGGUGACAGCCUUAAUUGGGGGUCAGACAUUCCAAAUAGCAUACUGUUGAAGUAAAUAAUAAUUCAGCAUUUAUACAGUCACAAACAGUGGCACUGGGCACUGUUUAGAGGUAGCUCUCUAAUAUAUGUUGUAGUUGUUUCGACCAAUACCAUAACCAUAACAACAGUACUCUGAAAAAUUCCAACACCAGUUCUCAGCUAACGACUCUGGUUCUUUCUGGAAGGAGCUCAGACAGAUUACAAACUACAAACCUAAACCCUCCCACUCCGUCAAUGACCUGCGGCUUGCAAAUUAACUGAACGAGUUCUACUGUUGCUUUGAGAGACAAAGGGACAGCCCUGACACCAUCCCCCGCGACACCCUUUCCCAUCUCAACAACACCCCCAGCUCAGCAGGAAACGGGGCCUCUCCCCUUCACACCUCUGGGUCCCCCCUCCUCUACCACAGUGACGACUCUCUGCCUGCAGGAGAGGGACGUCCACAAGCUAUUCAAAAGACAGAACCCCGCAAAGCAGCUGGACCAGACUCUGUCUAUCCAUCCACCCUGAAGCAGUGCGCUGACCAGCUGUCUCCAGUGUUCACAGACAUCUUCAACACCUCACUGAAGAACGUCAUGUGCUUCAAAGUCUCCACCAUCAUCCCCGUCCCCAU